rnacentral:rRNA from 1 species
UACAGAGGGUGCAAGCGUUAAUCGGAAUUACUGGGCGUAAAGGGCGCGUAGGUUGUUAUUUAAGUGAGAGGUGAAAUCCCCGGGCUUAACCUGGGAAUGGCCAUGGAAACUGGCGAACUGGAGUGCGGCAGAGGGGGGUGGAAUUCCGCGUGUAGCAGUGAAAUGCGUAGAGAUGCGGAGGAACACCGAUGGCGAAGGCAGCCCCCUGGGCUAGCACUGACGCUCAGGCACGAAAGCGUGGGGAGCAAACAGG